rnacentral:piRNA from 1 species
UCCUCCAUAGGCUGAGAAUCCGAUGGCUGG